GAUGAACGCUGGCGGCGUGCCUAAUACAUGCAAGUCGAGCGAACGGACGAGAAGCUUGCUCCUCUGAUGUUAGCGGCGGACGGGUGAGUAACACGUGGAUAACCUACCUAUAAGACUGGGAUAACUUCGGGAAACCGGAGCUAAUACCGGAUGAUAUUUUGAACCGCAUGGUUCAAAAGUGAAAGACGGUCUUGCUGUCACUUAUAGAUGGAUCCGCGCUGCAUUAGCUAGUUGGUAAGGUAACGGCUUACCAAGGCAACGAUGCAUAGCCGACCUGAGAGGGUGAUCGGCCACACUGGAACUGAGACACGGUCCCGACUCCUACGGGAGGCAGCAGUAGGGAAUCUUCCGCAAUGGGCGAAAGCCUGACGGAGCAACGCCGCGUGAGUGAUGAAGGUCUUCGGAUCGUAAAACUCUGUUAUUAGGGAAGAACAAAUGUGUAAGUAACUAUGCACAUCUUGACGGUACCUAAUCAGAAAGCCACGGCUAACUACGUG
rnacentral:rRNA from 1 species